UACGGAGGGGGCUAGCGUUAUUCGGAAUUACUGGGCGUAAAGCGCACGUAGGCGGCUUUGUAAGUUAGAGGUGAAAGCCUGGAGCUUAACUCCAGAAUUGCCUUUAAGACUGCAUCGCUUGAAUCCGGGAGAGGUGAGUGGAAUUCCGAGUGUAGAGGUGAAAUUCGUAGAUAUUCGGAAGAACACCAGUGGCGAAGGCGGCUCACUGGACCGGUAUUGACGCUGAGGUGCGAAAGCGUGGGGAGCAAACAGG
rnacentral:rRNA from 1 species